UCUUACUGAACUUUAUAAAAAUCCGAAUCUGAAGACUCAAACCCUGAGUAAACAACGUCCUUAAGAUAACACACCAAUGAAGAAGAGACAUUAAAAAUUUUAUUGAAAGCUGAAGAUCCAGUUCAAAUUACUGCGAACAAAACCUACAAUGCUUUUUGAUACGAGUGUGAUCGUUUGCCAGGGACAAAACAAAUAUCAUCAUCCUCAUUUAAAAUCGGACGUCAACGAUUUGUGAUACAUAGUCCUCAAAAGGAACUAAAAUUGGAAGAAAUAAUUGUGCAUCUUAAAAGGUUGAAAACCUUUUGCAGUGAGUCAAACGAUGGUUUUCCAAAUGACCACUAAAAGUUCAGAUUUACCUUUACAUUGAAAUUUCUCUGAAGAUAUAUUUUACAGAUUGAUUAAAGCAGGUCUGGAUUAUUUCGUGAAUGAUCGAUAAUUUUGACAUAUAAAGAAUGCAUACUGACGUAAUGUAGGUAACACUCAGAUAUUUAUCUGCAUUAAGGAAAUAUGGUGGUUAACAAUACAAAUGGCUUUUUUUCAAUAAAACGGACAUUUUUAAGCCCGAUACAGAACCUGGAGGUGGGAAGACGACGGUUCCCAUGUAAUUGUAAUGCAAUUAAAAUAGCAAUGUAGAAUUAGCAUAAAAUUAAUUUGUAUUUUAUUGUGCAUAUUACUCUCAUGCAUAUCUUUUUGUCAAAUGUGCCAUGUUGUAAAUUGUUUUGUUUUGAAUUAAUUGCAACCAAAAGAGGAAAAACACAUAUUUUUAACAAUAAAAUAAUUGUAUUACAGUCGUUAGGCAAGUUCCUCAAGAUAUAUACCGCACAAAACGUUGCAAUCAGUCUCCAUAGUGACCGUUAUGUGUCUAAACCACAAAUUUGGUCUCUAAGUGACUGCUAUAUGUAUAUCGCACAACACGAUGCAAUUGAUCUCCAUAGUGAUCGUUAGGUGUCUACCACAGAAAACGAUGCAAUCGGCCUCCUGGGAGUAUUGGACACUUCCUUUUGUAAAAACUUACUUUAAAUUUUUGUACACGUUCUAGAUAGUUUGAGGUACUUUUUUCUGUUCCUUUUGAUGAAAAAUCAGAUUAUGCGUCAACAUUUCGACAAAUAUGAAAUAACUUGAAACAGCUUUUGGUUUUUUUA